GUCCGUGGUCUGUGGUGCAAUCAAGUCUGUGCUCACUAACUCUCACCUUUGCCCUGAACCUCUUAGCCGACUUCCAGCGCCGGAUUCUUUGUCAUGAAACUGUGUUUGACUGUAGAAGCUGAGUUGGGGGUACAUCACUGAAAAAAGGUUGAGAAGCACUGAUCUAGUCCAAGGAUGGGUUUUGGAAGAUUCCAGCCAGGAAGCUCACCACCUGCUGUGUCUGGGCAGGUAAGAGACUCUCCAGCCAACACCUGCAUCACAUGGACUGUACUGAC